rnacentral:rRNA from 1 species
UAGAGUUUGAUCCUGGCUCAGAUUGAACGCUGGCGGCAUGCUUUACACAUGCAAGUCGAACGGUAACAGGCCGCAAGGUGCUGACGAGUGGCGAACGGGUGAGUAAUGUAUCGGAACGUGCCCAGUCGUGGGGGAUAACGCAGCGAAAGCUGCGCUAAUACCGCAUACGAUCUAUGGAUGAAAGCGGGGGACCGUAAGGCCUCGCGCGAUUGGAGCGGCCGAUAUCAGAUUAGGUAGUUGGUGGGGUAAAGGCUCACCAAGCCAACGAUCUGUAGCUGGUCUGAGAGGACGACCAGCCACACUGGGACUGAGACACGGCCCAGACUCCUACGGGAGGCAGCAGUGGGGAAUUUUGGACAAUGGGCGCAAGCCUGAUCCAGCAAUGCCGCGUGCAGGAAGAAGGCCUUCGGGUUGUAAACUGCUUUUGUACGGAACGAAACGGUCCUGGUUAAUACCUGGGGCUAAUGACGGACCGAAG